rnacentral:rRNA from 1 species
UACAGAGGUGUCAAACGUUGUCCGGAAUUACUGGGCGUAAAGGGCGCGUAGGCGGCCUUAUAAGUCAGAUGUGAAAGCUCUGGGCUCAACCCAGGAAUUGCAUCUGAUACUGUAGGGCUUGAGUUCGGUAGAGGAGGGCGGAAUUCCAGGUGUAGCGGUGAAAUACGUAGAUAUCUGGAGGAACACCCGUGGCGAAGGCGGCUCUCUGGUCCGAAACUGACGCUGAGGUGCGAAAGCUAGGGUAGCAAACAGG